rnacentral:rRNA from 1 species
AGUGAACGCUGGCGGUAGGCCUAACACAUGCAAGUCGAACGGCAGCACAGUAAGAGCUUGCUCUUACGGGUGGCGAGUGGCGGACGGGUGAGGAAUACAUCGGAAUCUACUUUUUCGUGGGGGAUAACGUAGGGAAACUUACGCUAAUACCGCAUACGACCUACGGGUGAAAGCAGGGGAUCUUCGGACCUUGCGCGAUUGAAUGAGCCGAUGUCGGAUUAGCUAGUUGGCGGGGUAAAGGCCCACCAAGGCGACGAUCCGUAGCUGGUCUGAGAGGAUGAUCGGCCACACUGGAACUGAGACACGGUCCAGACUCCUACGGGAGGCAGCAGUGGGGAAUAGUGGACAAUGGGCGCAAGCCUGAUCCAGCCAUACCGCGUGGGUGAAGAAGGCCUUCGGGUUGUAAAGCCCUUUUGUUGGGAAAGAAAAGCAGCAGGUUAAUACCCCGCUGUUCUGACGGUAACCAAAGAAGAAGCACCGGCUAACUUCGUG